CCUACGGGUGGCUGCAGUGAGGAAUAUUGGUCAAUGGGCGGGAGCCUGAACCAGCCAAGUCGCGUGAGGGACGACGGUCCUAUGGAUUGUCAACCUCUUUUGUCGGGGAACAAAGGCGCGCACGGGUGGGCGGAUGAGUGUACCCGAAGAAAAAGCAUCGGCUAACUCCGUGCCAGCAGCCGCGGUAAUACGGAGGAUCCGAGCGUUAUCCGGAUUUAUUGGGUUUAAAGGGAGCGUAGAUGGGUUGUUAAGUCAGUUGUGAAAGUUUGCGGCUCAACCGUAAAAUUGCAAUUGAUACUGGCAGCCUUGAGUACAGUUGAGGUAGGCGGAAUUCGUGGUGUAGCGGUGAAAUGCUUAGAUAUCACGAAGAACUCCGAUUGCGAAGGCAGCUUACUAAACUGCCACUGACAUUGAUGCUCGAAAGUGUGGGUAUCAAACAGGAUUAGAUACCCUUGUAGUC
rnacentral:rRNA from 1 species